rnacentral:lncRNA from 1 species
UUAGCAAUGAUUCUCCAGCCAUUUUUUUUACCUGGCAAGUCUAACUAGAUCUUUAUCUCUUGCUUGCUUUCAUUCUUUUCAGCAACUCGCCAGACUCGAACUGGCAGGGCUCUGAUCAAGCCUAUUUUUCCGACAAUAGAGUUGCUUUUGGUACGCAGUUCGAGAGGCUUAAAUUUCAGCCUUCCUACAUCUGCGGGCAGACCGCUUAAAGGAAUCCUC